GUAGGUGAACCUGCGGAGGGAUCAUUCACAUGAUUUACUUUAAACAAACUGUGAACUUUAUUUAACUAUUCGUGUGUAGUAAUUUAUUAUUAUCACACUGUCAUUCGAUGAACAUUAGAUAGCUGGCUCGUUUUUUUCAUUAAAAACUUUCUCAGCUGAUUUGUUUUUGUACUAGACUAAACAUCUAUUCAAUACAAUCAACCAAACAUAGAAACAACUCUAUGCCCUGGAUAUCUUGGUUCUC
rnacentral:misc_RNA from 1 species